GGAAAUAUUUAAUGGGUACAGAGUUUCUGUUUGGGAUGAGGAAAGAGUUCUAGAAAUGAAUGGUGAUCUUUGUACAACAUUGUGAAUGUACUUAAUGCCAUGGAAUUUGUACACCUAAAAAUGAUUAUAAUGGUAAAUUUUAUGUUAUAUAUUUUACCACAAUCAAAAUACAAUGGAGGCUAAAAAAUUAUUUAAAGCUAAUAUGCUACAAGUUAUUAUAAAUUACAACUCUUUUAAUUCUUAAGUAAUAUUGUUACUUAAGCAUCUCCUAGCGGGUAGCAAGAGUAUAUAAUGAAGUAUAAGAAGGAUAUAAAAUAACAAUUACUUCAGUUAUUGAACAGUGGACCAAACUAGUCUUUAUGCAGGUAAUGGCCAUUUAGGCCAGAUUGGAGAAAGUAAGGUAAACCUAGUGUGUUCACUACCAGCAUAUUCUUACCUAAAGUCUUUCAUGAUUCAAACUACUGUUUCUGUACUUAAUUCAUGUGUGUGAUGUAGCAGACAUGAUUCCUGUUCACCAAUAUCUGAUUCUCCACCAACUUAGAGCACACAGAAGAUGGUAUUUGUAAGCCCCCUUAAAGUUAGGGAAGACUUUGUGAAUUAGUUCUAGCCAAUGGGCUGUGGGUUAAGUGAUGACUGUCAUUUCUGGACCUAAACUUACAAGACCUGAUGCACUGUCCCAUCGACCAAGAAGGCCAUAUGUUUCAAUAAUGCAGCUACAGACUGGUAAAUUCUCUGUCAGCCUGGAUCACUGAGUUGUUUCAUGGGAAAGAGUGGCCAGAAAGAGCCCCAAAUCAGCAAAAGACAUUGCAAUGAUCACAAGUGAGGAGGCCUGGUGUUGAAAUGAUAGAGCCACAAGACAAUCAGCCUGGAUUACAAAGUCACCAGUUGGAAAACAGUUGCCUCUGCAGACUACCCGGACUCACAGUGGACUCUGGGUGAGCAAGAAAUAAACUGUUAAGUCAU